GUAGGUGAACCUGCGGAAGGAUCAUUACUGAGUGAGGGUCCCUCGGGGCCCAACCUCCCACCCGUGUAUACCGUACCUUGUUGCUUCGGCGGGCCCGCCGCGCAAGCGGCCGCCGGGGGGGCGUCAAACCCCCCUCCCUAGGCGAGCGCCCGCCGGAGACACCAACGUGAACACUGUCUGAAGUUUUGUUGUCUGAGUUCGAUUGUAUCGCAAUCAGUUAAAACUUUCAACAAUGGAUCUCUUGGUUCCGGCAUCGAUGAAGAACGCAGCGAAAUGCGAUAAUUAAUGUGAAUUGCAGAAUUCAGUGAAUCAUCGAGUCUUUGAACGCACAUUGCACCCCCUGGUAUUCCGGGGGGUAUGCCUGUCCGAGCGUCAUUGCUGCCCUCAAGCACGGCUUGUGUGUUGGGUCGUCGUCCCCCCCGGGGACGGGCCCGAAAGGCAGCGGCGGCACCGCGUCCGGUCCUCGAGCGUAUGGGGCUUUGUCACCCGCUCUUGUAGGCCCGGCCGGCGCUGGCCGACGCUGAAAAGCAACCAACUAUUUCUCCAGGUUGACCUCGGAUCAGGUAGGGAUACCCGCUGAACUUAAGCAUAUCAAU
rnacentral:rRNA from 1 species